GGGGGGGGCAAGCGUUGUUYGGAAUUACUGGGCGUAAAGGGCUCGUAGGUGGCCAACUAAGUCAGACGUGAAAUCCCUCGGCUUAACCGGGGAACUGCGUCUGAUACUGGAUGGCUUGAGUUUGGGAGAGGGAUGCGGAAUUCCAGGUGUAGCGGUGAAAUGCGUAGAUAUCUGGAGGAACACCGGUGGCGAAGGCGGCAUCCUGGACCAACACUGACACUGAGGAGSGAAAGCCAGGGGAGCAAACGGGAUUAGAUACCCCGGUAGUCCUGGCCCUAAACGAUGAAUGCUUGGUGUGGCGGGUAUCGAUCCCUGCCGUGCCGAAGCUAACGCAUUAAGCAUUCCGCCUGGGGAGUACGGUCGCAAGGSUG
rnacentral:rRNA from 1 species